GAUCCUGGCUUAGGAUGAACGCUGGCGGCGUGCCUAACACAUGCAAGUCGAACGAAGCAUACGGACCGGAGAUCGUCGAAGGACCGUAUGACUUAGUGGCGGACGGGUGAGUAAUGUAUGAGCAACCUGCCUUUCAGAGGGGGACAACAGUUGGAAACGACUGCUAAUACCGCGUAACGUAUCGUGGGGGCAUCCUCGUGAUACCAAAGGAGCAAUCCGCUGAAAGAUGGGCUCAUAUCUGAUUAGCUUGUUGGCGGGGUAACGGCCCACCAAGGCGACGAUCAGUAGCCGGACUGAGAGGUUGAACGGCCACAUUGGGACUGAGAUACGGCCCAGACUCCUACGGGAGGCAGCAGUGGGGAAUAUUGGGCAAUGGGCGAAAGCCUCGACCCAGCAACGCCGCGUGAAGGAAGAAGGUCUUCGGAUUGUAAACUUCUUUUAUGAGGGACGAAGGACGUGACGGUACCUCAUGAAUAAGCCACGGCUAACUACGUGCCAGCAGCGGC
rnacentral:rRNA from 1 species